AGUGAACGCUGGCGGUAGGCCUAACACAUGCAAGUCGAACGGCAGCACAGUAAGAGCUUGCUCUACGGGUGGGGGGUGGGGGGCGGGGGGAGGAUACUACCGAAUCUACUUUUUUGGGGGGGAUAAAGGAAGGAAACUUUAGCCCAUAACGCAUACGACCUACGGGUGGAAGGCGGGGAUCUUUGGAACCUGCGGGGUUUGAUGAGGCGAUGUCGGAUUAGCUAGUUGGCGGGGUAAAGGCCCACCAAGGCGACGAUCCGUAGCCGGGCUGAGAGGAUGAUCAGCCACACUGGAACUGAGACACGGUCCAGACUCCUACGGGAGGCAGCAGUGGGGAAUAUUGGACAAUGGGCGCAAGCCUGAUCCAGCCAUACCGCGUGGGUGAAGAAGGCCUUCGGGUUGUAAAGCCCUUUUGUUGGGAAAGAAAAGCAGCAGGUUAAUACCCCGCUGUUCUGACGGUACCCAAAGAAUAAGCACCGGCUAACUUCGUG
rnacentral:rRNA from 1 species